CCUACGGGAGGCAGCAGUAGGGAAUCUUUCACAAUGGGCCAAAGCCUGAUGGAGCAGCGCCUCGUGCAGGAUGAAGGCCUUCGUGUUGUAAACUGCUUUUAUAAGCGAGAAAUCUGAUGGUAACUUAUGAAUAAGGAUCGGCUAACUACGUGCCAGCAGCCGCGGUAAUACGUAGGUGGCAAGCGUUAUCCGGAUUUACUGGGUGGAAAGGGCGUGUAGGCGGGAGAGCAAGUCAGAUGUGAAAUUCCAGGGCUCAACCCUGGAACUGCAUGUGAAACUGUUUUUCUCGAGUGAUGGAGAGGCAGGCGGAAUGCCGUGUGUAGCGGUGAAAUGCGUAGAUAUAGGGAGGAACACCAGUGGCGAAGGCGGCCUGCUGGACAUUAACUGACGCUGAGGCGCGAAAGCGUGGGGAGCAAACAGGAUUAGAUACCCCAGUAGUC
rnacentral:rRNA from 1 species